CAGAUGGCGACCGGCGCACGGGUGAGUAACACGUAUCCAACCUGCCGCUUACUCGGGGAUAGCCUUUCGAAAGAAAGAUUAAUACCCGAUGGUAUAAAGAGUUCGCAUGUUCUCUUUAUUAAAGAAUUUCGGUAAGCGAUGGGGAUGCGUUCCAUUAGAUAGUUGGCGGGGUAACGGCCCACCAAGUCUACGAUGGAUAGGGGUUCUGAGAGGAAGGUCCCCCACAUUGGAACUGAGACACGGUCCAAACUCCUACGGGAGGCAGCAGUGAGGAAUAUUGGUCAAUGGGCGCAAGCCUGAACCAGCCAUGUCGCGUGCAGGAAGAACCUGCCCUAUGGGUUGUAAACUGCUUUUAUAGUAGAAGAAACACAUCUACGUGUAGAUGUCUGCCAGUAUACUAUGAAUAAGCAUCGGCUAACUCCGUGCCAGCCGCGGC
rnacentral:rRNA from 1 species